AACGAACGCUGGCGGCAUGCCUAACACAUGCAAGUCGAACGAGACCUUCGGGUCUAGUGGCGCACGGGUGCGUAACGCGUGGGAACCUGCCCUUAGAUUCGGAAUAACUCACCGAAAGGGGUGCGAAUACCGGAUAAUGUCUUCGGACCAAAGAUUUAUCGCCUUUGGAGGGGCCGGCGUUGGAUUAGCUAGUUGGUAGGGUAAAGGCCUACCAAGGCGACGAUCCAUAGCUGGUCUGGGAGGAUGAGCAGCCACACUGGGACUGAGACACGGCCCAGACUCCUACGGGAGGCAGCAGUGGGGAAUAUUGGACAAUGGGCGAAAGCCUGAUCCAGCAAUGCCGCGUGAGUGAUGAAGGCCUUAGGGUUGUAAAGCUCUUUUACCCGGGAUGAUAAUGACAGUACCGGGAGAAUAAGCUCCGGCUAACUCCGUG
rnacentral:rRNA from 1 species